UGAAGAUGCACCAGAUGUUGAGAGGCC
rnacentral:miRNA from 1 species